UAUUCGGUAGUUAAAUAAUAACAACGGUUUGCAAAGCCGUAAUUGCUUGGUUAAGUUCGAAUCU
rnacentral:tRNA from 1 species